CAUGUAGGCGGAUUAAUAAGUUUGAAGUGAAAUCCUAUAGCUUAACUAUAGAACUGCUUUGAAAACUGUUAAUCUAGAAUGUGGGAGAGGUAGAUGGAAUUUCUGGUGUAGGGGUAAAAUCCGUAGAGAUCAGAAGGAAUACCGAUUGCGAAGGCGAUCUACUGGAACAUUAUUGACGCUGAGAUGCGAAAGUGUGGGGAGCAAACA
rnacentral:rRNA from 1 species